UACGGAGGGAGCUAGCGUUGUUCGGAAUUACUGGGCGUAAAGCGCACGUAGGCGGCCAUUCAAGUCGGGGGUGAAAGCCCGGGGCUCAACCCCGGAACUGCCCUCGAAACUAGGUGGCUAGAAUCUUGGAGAGGUCAGUGGAAUUCCGAGUGUAGAGGUGAAAUUCGUAGAUAUUCGGAAGAACACCAGUGGCGAAGGCGACUGACUGGACAAGUAUUGACGCUGAGGUGCGAAAGCGUGGGGAGCAAACAGG
rnacentral:rRNA from 1 species